GAGAAUCACCAGGAAGUUUAAUAAAUCUCAUAGGAGUUAGGAUGAAGAAGCUAUCCCAUUUUCAAAUCAGGUGAUCACAGUUUUCCUGUUUGGGAAUAUGACAACUUCGUUGUCAUUCUAAUCAAGCCAGGAAGAAUCGCGAUGUAAAAAGCUUGAUUUUGAUACAUAAAGUAGUGGAGAAUCACCAAAAAGUUGAAUAAAUCUCAUAGGAGUUAGGAUGAAGAAACUAUCCCACUUUCAAAUCAGUUGAUCCCAGUUUUCCUGUUUGGGAAUAAGACAAUUUCUU
rnacentral:lncRNA from 1 species